rnacentral:rRNA from 1 species
GAUGAACGCUAGCGGGAGGCCUAACACAUGCAAGCCGAGCGGUAUUUGUCUUUCGGGACAGAGAGAGCGGCGUACGGGUGCGGAACACGUGUGCAACCUGCCUUUAUCUGGGGGAUAGCCUUUCGAAAGGAAGAUUAAUACCCCAUAAUAUAUAGACUGGCAUCAGUUUAUAUUGAAAACUCCGGUGGAUAGAGAUGGGCACGCGCAAGAUUAGAUAGUUGGUGAGGUAACGGCUCACCAAGUCAGUGAUCUUUAGGGGGCCUGAGAGGGUGAUCCCCCACACUGGUACUGAGACACGGACCAGACUCCUACGGGAGGCAGCAGUGAGGAAUAUUGGACAAUGGGUGAGAGCCUGAUCCAGCCAUCCCGCGUGAAGGACUAAGGCCCUAUGGGUUGUAAACUUCUUUUAUACUGGGAUAAACCUACUUACGUGUAAGUAGCUGAAGGUACAGUAUGAAUAAGCACCGGCUAACUCCGUGCCAGCAGCCGCGGUAAUACGGAGGGUGCAAGCGUUAUCCGGAUUUAUUGGGUUUAAAGGGUCCGUAGGCGGAUCUGUAAGUCAGUGGUGAAAUCUCAUAGCUUAACUAUGAAACUGCCAUUGAUACUGCAGGUCUUGAGUGAGAUUGAGGUAGCUGGAAUAAGUAGUGUAGCGGUGAAAUGCAUAGAUAUUACUUAGAACACCAAUUGCGAAGGCAGGUUACCAAGUCUUAACUGACGCUGAUGGACGAAAGCGUGGGGAGCGAACAGGAUUAGAUACCCUGGUAGUCCACGCCGUAAACGAUGCUAACUCGUUUUUGGGGCUUUGGCUUCAGAGACUAAGCGAAAGUGAUAAGUUAGCCACCUGGGGAGUACGAUCGCAAGAUUGAAACUCAAAGGAAUUGACGGGGGCCCGCACAAGCGGUGGAGCAUGUGGUUUAAUUCGAUGAUACGCGAGGAACCUUACCAAGACUUAAAUGGGAAAUGACAGGUUUAGAAAUAGAUCCUUCUUCGGACAUUUUUCAAGGUGCUGCAUGGUUGUCGUCAGCUCGUGCCGUGAGGUGUUAGGUUAAGUCCUGCAACGAGCGCAACCCCUGUCACUAGUUGCUAACAUUAAGUUGAGGACUCUAGUGAGACUGCCUACGCAAGUAGAGAGGAAGGUGGGGAUGACGUCAAAUCAUCACGGCCCUUACGUCUUGGGCCACACACGUGCUACAAUGGCCAGUACAGAGGGCAGCUACCAGGUGACUGGAUGCGAAUCUCGAAAGCUGGUCUCAGUUCGGAUUGGAGUCUGCAACUCGACUCUAUGAAGCUGGAAUCGCUAGUAAUCGCGCAUCAGCCAUGGCGCGGUGAAUACGUUCCCGGGCCU